rnacentral:tmRNA from 1 species
GGGGGCGACCUGGUCUCGACGGGGGUCGCGAAGCAGCUUGGUGCAUACCGAGGACCAGUCACCUCGUAAAUCCAUCUGGAAAACCACAAACGCCAACGACGAGCGUUUCGCUCUAGCCGCUUAAGGCUGGACCACUGCACUGAUUGGUCUCUGGGUCAGGCGGGGCAACCCGCAGCAGUGUCAUUUACAGGGAAUCGUGAUGCGUCGGGUUACUUGGCGCAGAACUAAAUCCAAGGUGACUCGCUUCGUACCGGCCUGUCGUCCGGCUAAGUGCGGGGUUAAAUCAAAAUAGGCCGACUAAGUAUGUAGAUCCAGUUGUAGAGGGCUUUCGGACGCGGGUUCGAUUCCCGCCGCCUCCACCA